GACUGCGCCACCCAGGCGCCCCAAGAAAGAGUCUUAAGCAGACAGUCUGCUGAGUGCAAACUCCUAUGGGAAGCUCAAUUCCAUGGCCCUGAGAUCAUGACCUGAGCUGAAAUCAAGAGUCAGUUGCUUAACCGACUGCACCACCCAGGGGCCCCACUAUUUCUCAAUAUUUUAAAUCUAUAUCAAGAAAACAAAAAGCAUUAUUGGCAAUAUCAGGUACAUUAUAAAAAUGGGGAGAGAGGCGCCUGAGGGACUGAGUUGGUUAAGCGUCCGACUCUUGAUUUCUGCUUAGGUCUUGUCAUGAGUUCAAGCCCCACACUGGGCUCCAGGCAGGGCAUGGAGCCUACUUAAAAAAAAACAAAAACAGAAAACGGGGGCGGGAGGGGGAGACAAACAUGUUGCCAGAUACCGAGGUAAAUCUUUUAGAACAGUGCCUUCCAAACAUUAAUGUGCAUAUGAAACACCGGGGAAUCGUGUCAAAAUGCAAAUUCAGAUUCAGAAGCUCUGCAGGGAGGACCAAGGAUGUGCCUUUCGUACAGGCUCCCAGGUGUUGGCCAGAGUGCAGCAGGCUGUGGGCCACGAGCUGAAUAGACAGUCCUUAGAAGACUUUGUCUGGCCUUUAGAAAUAUUGAAACAUAUAAAAGUGUAGAAAGAAGACAAAGAAAUCAUUUUGUGUUCUUCCUACCCCUGAUGUGUCAUGGCGACGUGCUGGCCUAUCUGUGUUCUCUUCAUCUGUAGAGACAGCAUUUCUCUUCCCUACACUGAUUCAGUAAGAGAAAAUGAUUACGCAUAGACAAGCCGCGUAUGGGAUGCAGAGGAUAUAAAACUAAGUGGAAACCCAGUGCGUCUGGUCAGUGAGGCAUCCGUGAGCAUGAAUGUGAAGGAACAAAGGACAGGCAGAAGGGCAAGAGGAGUUUCUGGGGAAGACCAUGGUAGCCAAACACCGUGGCAGGUGUCUGCAGAAGCAACAGCAUUGGAGAGCAAGGCUCGCUUGCUUCUGAUACACCGGACUCCCUGGGCUCAGUGGAGGCAGGCUGGCCUCAGUGCACGGCUAAGUGAUGGGCUGUCACUUGCAUGCCUCCACACCAAAUAACGGGAACAUGCCGGUGAGGCAGCAUUCACGCUGGGCCCUCAGGCUUGCGUAAGAGAAAGCCUUGCAUCCAAUCUCGAUGCUUAGAUGCACGCAUUAUCCUGCCCUCCGUACCAAAAGCAAGGGCUGCACCUCACGUCGGUGCCCAGAAGUUUCCAGGGCUGCGUCUCUCAGAAAACCCGCACCCUCUCACUGUGUCCGGCCUGGGACAGAGCUCCUUUUUUCUAGGCAGGUGUGGACACCUAGAGAUCAUGCUUCUUGCACAACCUGCAAGUUCACCACGCUCAUAUAGUUUUGAUUUUACAAAACAAGUUGGAUUACUAUUUAAUUUUACUUUAGAAAUCCUCAAAGGCAAAGAAGAAAGGAAAAGAAAGGUAUAAUGUCUUUACCUGAGGUAGUGAUUUGUUCCUGUCUCACAAGAUUCUGAAUAUUUUUCCUUUCAUCCUCCUCUGCGACCCCCCCUUCUGUUUCUCUCUCUGGUAAGUGUGAUGGGGGAAGUACAGAAGGGGGUGGAAAUAGGGCUAUACUUGUAUAUAGUGUUAUAGUCUGUAUUUCUGAAUAAAUAUUCUAUUUUUGAACUUUACCCGUGCAUUGGAAACAUAAUUCUUAACAGCUGCAUAAUAAGUUCAUAUCGCACAGGCGCCAUGACCGACUUACCUCUUUUACACCGGGCACCUGGAUCCCUUUCACUUUCCAACACUGUGCUGGAGAUCCUUCUGUGGUGUGACUGCGAUCCCACGGGCUGUUUAGCCACAGCCCCCGACAUGCGUUUGUAGAAGGGACACUCUGAGCUUCAUGACUACAUGCAAGAAGAUACCCAGAAAACCGUGAGAUAUUGACAUUAGCCUUGGCAUCAUGACCAAGACUGAAUAAUGAAUCAGACGGACUGGUGCCCAAAUCAGAUAUAUUACGUAGUUUAGGUCCAAAUAUGUGUUUCGACAGGUUUGCACGAUCAUGUCACAGUAAUAUCUACUUUAAAAAAAACCAGCUUCAAGAACUCUGAUCUUCUCAACCCAGUAUAGAUGCAGCAAUCAGGAUGACAAUUGUCUAUGAUGAAGGGAAACAUUUAGUGCAUGAGAAAAUGGCAGGGUUUGUUUAGAAGUUGGGAAGAGGAGAUAUUCAGAUUUAGUGAGCUGGCAGGUCUGAUGGCUGCAAGCUAUUUCUGAGUCAUCUAUGAAAAGCGGAGGAACAUCCAUCCCUUCCAACUCAUUAAGCAAGCUAAGCCUUCAAUGAUCAACUUUCCCCAUCCCAAAUGGUUCAAGAGAUUGUAUUCACUGGGGCGCCUGGGUGGCACAGCGGUUAAGCAUCUGCCUUCGGCUCAGGGCGUGAUCCCGGCGUUAUGGGAUCGAGCCCCACAUCAGGCUCCUCUGCUAUGAGCCUGCUUCUUCCUUUCCCACUCCCCCUGCUGUGUUCCCCUCUCUCGCUGGCUGUCUCUAUCUCGGUCAAAUAAAUAAAUAAAAUCUUUAAAAAAAAAAAAAGAGAUUGUAUUCACACCUAACGUUUUAACGUUUCUUUCGUUUUUCUUCAUGGAUAUAAUAGGUCAUUGGCCCAUGUGAUAACAUAUUGUGUAGAUGUCUCCCCUUUGCUGAACCACCUGGAAAAUACGGACCAUGGCGGGAUGCCCAAAGAUGGCUUGAACCGUUAGCCUGCCUUAUCUUUGAAUUGUCCUCAAUGUAACUGAGAAAAGGGUUUCCACACACCUCCAGAAACUCGAGACUCUUGGGAAAACGAGGCAUACAUAGCGUCAACGCAAGAUAAGUCUGCUCAUUCAUCUGAUGUCCAUAUCUGCUGACAACCAGACGGUCAGGACCCAACUCCUGGAUGAAGACAAAGCACACAAUAAAAACGUAAAGAUGAAUCAGGACGCUAUCUAUCAGAAAACUCUGAACAAUUCGGUGUCCCUAUGUACCCGUAUUCAGUAGCUUGCGAAGCUCGGAUCGAGAACGUAGGUCGACACUUGUUGAGAGAUAAGCCAAAGAGAGAUUCACUGGUCUAGUAUUAUCCUUCACUCAUAAAACACACACAUUGAUUGGUAGAAACCCAUUUCUCCCUUCUCUCACACCCCUGCCGCAUCCACGAAACGAAAAUUUGAGUAAUGUCUUAUCGUGUGGGCUUUUAUGACUGGCAGAAGAGGAGAUGAAUAAAUAAUUCAUUUACAAAAUGGCAAAAACUCGACUCGAACAGGAAUCCAUGUUAUAUUCUCUAGAGAAGGCAGGCAUGUAGCAUCCUACGGUCUCUCAAUUAACACAUUCUCGAAGGUCCAGCAAGUGUGUAUCUGUAACACCCCAAACAACUCUGUUGACUCAGAAAGACUUCUCACAGGUUUAUGUCAAGCACCAACGACCUCAAGGGAAGCACUUUGCCUUUUUUUUUUUUUUUCAGUCUCCAGACAUUUCCACACAGGAAUAUUUCCUUUGCAACCACAGACCUUGAUCGAGCCACUGUUUUCAGAGUUUUCUCUCUCUGGUAUUUGGUGAAGCAGUUUGCCACAAAGGAAGAAUGACAGAGUAGAUUUUGAGUGUCUCCCUCUAUUUUUUUAAAAAGAUUUUAUUUAUUUGACAGAGAGAGACAGCCAGCGAGAGAGGCAACACAAGCAGGGGGAGUGGGAGAGGAAGAAGCAGGCUCAUAGCGGAGGAGCCUGAUAUGAGGC
ensembl:lncRNA